rnacentral:rRNA from 1 species
GUUAAUAGCAUUAUUAUUUGACGUUAGCUGCAGAAGAAGCACCGGCUAACUCCGUGCCAGCAGCCGCGGUAAUACGGAGGGUGCGAGCGUUAAUCGGAAUUACUGGGCGUAAAGCGCAUGCAGGUGGAUGAUUAAGUCAGAUGUGAAAGCCCGGGGCUCAACCUCGGAAUAGCAUUUGAAACUGGUCAUCUAGAGUACUGUAGAGGGGGGUAGAAUUUCAGGUGUAGCGGUGAAAUGCGUAGAGAUCUGAAGGAAUACCGGUGGCGAAGGCGGCCCCCUGGACAGAUACUGACACUCAGAUGCGAAAGCGUGGGGAGCAAACAGGAUUAGAUACCCUGGUAGUCCACGCCGUAAACGAUGUCUACUUGGAGGUUGUGGCCUUGAGCCGUGGCUUUCGGAGCUAACGCGUUAAGUAGACCGCCUGGGGAGUACGGUCGCAAGAUUAAAACUCAAAUGAAUUGACGGGGGCCCGCACAAGCGGUGGAGCAUGUGGUUUAAUUCGAUGCAACGCGAAGAACCUUACCUACUCUUGACAUCCAUAGAACUUUCCAGAGAUGGAUUGGUGCCUUCGGGAACUAUGAGACAGGUGCUGCAUGGCUGUCGUCAGCUCGUGUUGUGAAAUGUUGGGUUAAGUCCCGCAACGAGCGCAACCCUUAUCCUUGUUUGCCAGCACUUCGGGUGGGAACUCCAGGGAGACUGCCGGUGAUAAACCGGAGGAAGGUGGGGACGACGUCAAGUCAUCAUGGCCCUUACGAGUAGGGCUACACACGUGCUACAAUGGCGCAUACAGAGGGCGGCCAACUUGCGAAAGUGAGCGAAUCCCAAAAAGUGCGUCGUAGUCCGGAUUGGAGUCUGCAACUCGACUCCAUGAAGUCGGAAUCGCUAGUAAUCGUGGAUCAGAAUGCCACGGUGAAUACGUUCCCGGGCCUUGUACACACCGCCCGUCACACCAUGGGAGUGGGCUGCAAAAGAAGUGGGUAGUUUAACCUUCGGGGGGACGCUCACCA